UUACUUAACUAAGGAUAUUUUCACCGUGAAUAUUUUAAAAAGAAAGGCUUUCAAGAAAACAAUAGUCCCCAAAAAUAAAAGGAAAUAAGAAAGGAGUGGAAAAGCACUAUUGUUUGCUUUGGUACGUAAACGUGUAAUAAAAAGUUAAACCUUUUUUAAUGUAAGGAUCUGUAAAAGGAAGGCGUAUUUGGAAUAAGUUUGAUAAUAUAUUUAGUAGGAUUGGAA